rnacentral:rRNA from 1 species
CAAGCUUUUAAGAGCAGAUGGCGGAUGCCUUGCCAAAGAGAGGCGAUGAAGGACGUACUAGACUGCGAUAAGCUAUGCGGAGCUGUCAAGGAGCUUUGAUGCGUAGAUGUCCGAAUGGGGCAACCCAACUAAUAGAGAUAUUAGUUACUCUAAUUAUUAAUAGAGGGCGAACCUAGUGAAGUGAAACAUCUCAGUAACUAGAGGAAAAGAAAUCAACGAGAUUCCCUAAGUAGUGGCGAGCGAACGGGGAAAAGGGCAAACCGAGUGCUUGCAUUCGGGGUUGAGGACUGCAACAUCCAAGAGAACGCUUUAGCAGAGUUACCUGGAAAGGUAAGCCAUAGAAAGUGAUAGCCUUGUAUGCGACAAGGCGUUCUCAGGUAGCAGUAUCCAGAGUAGGCCAGGACACGAGAAAUCCAGGUUGAAGCUGGGGAGACCACUCUCCAACCCUAAAUACUACUCUUUGAGCGAUAGCGAACAAGUACCGUGAGGGAAAGGUGAAAAGAACCGCAGUGAGCGGAGUGAAAUAGAACCUGAAACCAUCUGCUUACAAUCAUUCAGAGCCCUAUGAUUUAUCAGGGUGAUGGACUGCCUUUUGCAUAAUGAUCCUGCGAGUUGUGGUAUCUGGCAAGGUUAAGCGAAUGCGAAGCCGUAGCGAAAGCGAGUCUUAAUAGGGCGCUUGAGUCAGAUGCUGCAGACCCGAAGCUAAGUGAUCUAUCCAUGGCCAAGUUGAAACGCGUGUAAUAGCGCGUGGGGGACUGAACUCGUACCCAUUGAAACGGGUUGGGAUGAGCUGUGGAUAGGGGUGAAAGGCCAAACAAACUUAGUGAUAGCUGGUUCUCUUCGAAAUAUAUUUAGGUAUAGCCUCAAGUGAUAAUAAAAGGGGGUAGAGCGCUGAUUGGGCUAGGGCUGCUCGCCGCGGUACCAAACCCUAUCAAACUUCGAAUACCUUUUAUCGUAUCUUGGGAGUCAGGCGGUGGGUGAUAAAAUCAAUCGUCAAAAGGGGAACAACCCAGACUACCAAAUAAGGUCCCUAAGUUCUAUUCUGAGUGGAAAAAGAUGUGUGGCUACUCAAACAACCAGGAGGUUGGCUUAGAAGCAGCCAUCCUUUAAAGAAAGCGUAACAGCUCACUGGUCUAGUGGUCAUGCGCUGAAAAUAUAACGGGGCUAAGAUAGACACCGAAUUUGUAGAUUGUGUUUGACACAGUGGUAGAAGAGCGUUCAUACCAGCGUUGAAGGUAUACCGGUAAGGAGUGCUGGAGCGGUAUGAAGUGAGCAUGCAGGAAUGAGUAACGAUAAGAUAUAUGAGAAUUGUAUCCGCCGUAAAUCUAAGGUUUCCUACGCGAUGGUCGUCAUCGUAGGGUUAGUCGGGUCCUAAGCCGAGUCCGAAAGGGGUAGGUGAUGGCAAAUUGGGUUAAUAUUCCAAUACCGACUUAUGGAGCGUGAUGGGGGGACGCAUAGGGUUAAGCGAGCUAGCUGAUGGAAGCGCUAGUCUAAGGGCGUAGAUUGGAGGGAAGGCAAAUCCACCUCUGUAUUUGAAACCCAAACAGGCUCUUUGAGUCCUUUUAGGACAAAGGGAGAAUCGCUGAUACCGUCGUGCCAAGAAAAGCCUCUAAGCAUAUCCAUAGUCGUCCGUACCGCAAACCGACACAGGUAGAUGAGAUGAGUAUUCUAAGGCGCGUGAAAGAACUCUGGUUAAGGAACUCUGCAAACUAGCACCGUAAGUUCGCGAUAAGGUGUGCCACAGCGAUGUGGUCUCAGCAAAGAGUCCCUCCGACUGUUUACCAAAAACACAGCACUUUGCCAACUCGUAAGAGGAAGUAUAAGGUGUGACGCCUGCCCGGUGCUCGAAGGUUAAGAGGAUGCGUCAGUCGCAAGAUGAAGCGUUGAAUUGAAGCCCGAGUAAACGGCGGCCGUAACUAUAACGGUCCUAAGGUAGCGAAAUUCCUUGUCGGUUAAAUACCGACCUGCAUGAAUGGCGUAACGAGAUGGGAGCUGUCUCAACCAGAGAUUCAGUGAAAUUGUAGUGGAGGUGAAAAUUCCUCCUACCCGCGGCAAGACGGAAAGACCCCGUGGACCUUUACUACAACUUAGCACUGCUAAUGGGAAUAUCAUGCGCAGGAUAGGUGGGAGGCUUUGAAGUAAGGGCUUUGGCUCUUAUGGAGCCAUCCUUGAGAUACCACCCUUGAUGUUUCUGUUAGCUAACUGGCCUGUGUUAUCCACAGGCAGGACAAUGCUUGGUGGGUAGUUUGACUGGGGCGGUCGCCUCCUAAAAAGUAACGGAGGCUUGCAAAGGUUGGCUCAUUGCGGUUGGAAAUCGCAAGUUGAGUGUAAUGGCACAAGCCAGCCUGACUGUAAGACAUACAAGUCAAGCAGAGACGAAAGUCGGUCAUAGUGAUCCGGUGGUUCUGUGUGGAAGGGCCAUCGCUCAAAGGAUAAAAGGUACCCCGGGGAUAACAGGCUGAUCUCCCCCAAGAGCUCACAUCGACGGGGAGGUUUGGCACCUCGAUGUCGGCUCAUCGCAUCCUGGGGCUGGAGCAGGUCCCAAGGGUAUGGCUGUUCGCCAUUUAAAGCGGUACGCGAGCUGGGUUCAGAACGUCGUGAGACAGUUCGGUCCCUAUCUGCCGUGGGCGUAGGAAAGUUGAGGAGAGCUGUCCCUAGUACGAGAGGACCGGGAUGGAUGUGUCACUGGUGCACCAGUUGUUCUGCCAAGAGCAUCGCUGGGUAGCUACACACGGAUGUGAUAACUGCUGAAAGCAUCUAAGCAGGAAGCCAACUCCAAGAUAAACUUUCCCUGAAGCUCGCACAAAGACUAUGUGCUUGAUAGGGUAGAUGUGUAAGCGCAGUAAUGCGUUUAGCUGACUACUACUAAUAGAGCGUUUGGCUUGUUUU